CUUUACCUGGCACAUUGCGAUCCAGCAACUCCUUGUGCCGGGCUGGGUGCCUGAAGGCUGACAUCAGUCGUCAGUUGAACUGUGUUUCCUCCGACACAUUUGUGCUGCUAGCUUCCGGGUUAAGUGAACGGGUGUUAAGAAGCGUGGCUUGACGGGUCAUGUUUCGUAUGAUGCAUGACUCGACCUUCGCCUCUCCAGAGCCCGUUGGGGAGUUGCAGCGGUGAGACAAGAUCGUAAUUGGAUAUCAAGAAAAAAUGAAAUCCUGCGACUAGUGAUGUCCAGCCGCCCAACAACCUGCCCACUUGAACCAAUCCCCUCCUCCCUUAUCUAGACCAUCUCUGGAGACCUCCCAUUCCUCAUCAACUCAUCCCUGACCACUGGCUGACUUCAAGAGAACCCAAGCCUUUACUCCUAUGAUGUCAACUACAGACCAGUAUCCUUUCUUUCUUUUCUUUUCAAAACACUUGAGCAGCUGUCUAACCAACUCUCUCAAAAUGAUCUUCUUGACCCUAACCAGUCAAGAUUCAAGGCGGCUCACUCAACUGACAUUGCGCUCCUCUGUCACAGAGGCUCUCCGCUCUGCCAAAGCAGACUCUCUCUCUCUCUUCUGUCCUCAUCCUCCUAAGUCUAUCCACUGCCUUUAACAAUGUGAACCAUCAGAUCCUCCUCUCCAACCUUUCAGGGUUGGGCAUCUCAGGCUCUGCACACGUCUUGAAUGCAUCCAACCUAGCAGGUCGCUCCUGAAUUGACUAAUUGUAAGUUGCUUUGGAUAAGAGUGUUUGCUACAUGACCAACAUGUUAAAAAAAAGUCAAGGUAUUGGAGUGGCCAUCACAAAGGCCUUACCUCAAUCCAAUAGAAAAUGUGUGGGAAGAAAUGAAAAAGCGUGUGCGAGCAAGGAGGCCUACACCAUCUCUGUCAGAGGAAUGGGCCAAAAUGCAUCCAACUUACUGUGGGAAGCUUGUGGGAGGCUACCUGAAACAUUUGACCUAAGUUAAACAAUUUAAAGACAAUGCUACCAAAUACUAAUUGAGUGUAUGUAAACUGACCCAUUGGGAA
ensembl:lncRNA